rnacentral:rRNA from 1 species
UGUGGACGUUACCAAACUGUUGCCUCGGCGGGGUCACGCCCCGGGUGCGUCGCAGCCCCGGAACCAGGCGCCCGCCGGAGGAACCAACCAAACUCUUUCUGUAGUCCCCUCGCGGACGUAUUUCUUACAGCUCUGAGCAAAAAUUCAAAAUGAAUCAAAACUUUCAACAACGGAUCUCUUGGUUCUGGCAUCGAUGAAGAACGCAGCGAAAUGCGAUAAGUAAUGUGAAUUGCAGAAUUCAGUGAAUCAUCGAAUCUUUGAACGCACAUUGCGCCCGCCAGUAUUCUGGCGGGCAUGCCUGUCCGAGCGUCAUUUCAACCCUCGAACCCCUCCGGGGGAUCGGCGUUGGGGAUCGGGACCCCUCACACGGGUGCCGGCCCCGAAAUACAGUGGCGGUCUCGCCGCAGCCUCUCCUGCGCAGUAGUUUGCACAACUCGCACCGGGAGCGCGGCGCGUCCACGUCCGUAAAACACCCAACUUUCUGAAAUGUUGACCUCGGAUCAGGUAGGAAUACCCGCUGAACUUAAGCAUAUCAAUAAG